GACGAACGCUGGCGGCGCGCCUAACACAUGCAAGUCGAACGGAGUUGUGUUGAAAGCUUGCUGGAUAUACAACUUAGUGGCGGACGGGUGAGUAACACGUGAGUAACCUGCCUCUCAGAGUGGAAUAACGUUUGGAAACGAACGCUAAUACCGCAUAACGUGAGAAGAGGGCAUCCUCUUUUUGCCAAAGAUUUAUCGCUGAGAGAUGGGCUCGCGGCCGAUUAGGUAGUUGGUGAGAUAACAGCCCACCAAGCCGACGAUCAGUAGCCGACCUGAGAGGGUGACCGGCCACAUUGGGACUGAGACACGGCCCAA
rnacentral:rRNA from 1 species